CCGAGUUUACAACUCCCAAACCCAAUGUGAACCAUACCAAACUGUUGCCUCGGCGGGGUCACGCCCCGGGUGCGUCGCAGCCCCGGAACCAGGCGCCCGCCGGAGGGACCAACCAAACUCUUGUAUUAUCAGCAUCUUCUGAAUACGCCGCAAGGCAAAACAAAUAAAUUA
rnacentral:misc_RNA from 1 species